UACGAAGGGGGCUAGCGUUGCUCGGAAUCAUUGGGCGUAAAGAGCGUGUAGGCGGCCAGAUAAGUCCGCUGUGAAAUCUCGAGGCUCAACUUCGAGCUGUCGGUGGAAACUGUCUGGCUAGAGUCCGGAAGAGGAGAAUGGAAUUCCUGGUGUAGCGGUGAAAUGCGCAGAUAUCAGGAAGAACACCCGUGGCGAAGGCGGCUCUCUGGGACGGUACUGACGCUGAGACGCGAAAGCGUGGGGAGCGAACAGG
rnacentral:rRNA from 1 species